GGGGCGUUCUAUAUAGUUAUGUAUAAUAAUAUUUAUAUUAUUUAUGCCUCUAACUGGAACGUACCUUGAGCAUAUAUGCUGUGACCCGAAAGAUGGUGAACUAUACUUGAUCAGGUUGAAGUCAGGGGAAACCCUGAUGGAAGACCGAAACAGUUCUGACGUGCAAAUCGAUUGUCAGAAUUAAGUAUAGGGGCGAAAGACCAAUCGAACCAUCUAGUAGCUGGUUCCUUCCGAAGUUUCCCUCAGGAUAGCUGGUGCAUUUUAAUGUUAUAUAAAAUAAUCUUAUCUGGUAAAGCGAAUGAUUAGAGGCCUUAGGGUCGAAACGAUCUUAACCUAUUCUCAAACUUUAAAUGGGUAAGAACCUUAACUUUCUUGAUAUGAAGUUCAAGGUUAUGAUAUAAUGUGCCCAGUGGGCCACUUUUGGUAAGCAGAACUGGCGCUGUGGGAUGAACCAAACGUAAUGUUACGGUGCCCAAAUUAACAACUCAUGCAGAAACCAUGAAACCAUAAGAUACUUAAGUUAUGUGAAAAAACAAACCGCAACCUCUGAAAAAACCUUAAACUAAAAAUUACAACCUUAAUAAGUUCCUAAAAAGCAAGUUCUGCCAUAGAA
rnacentral:rRNA from 1 species